rnacentral:rRNA from 1 species
CAUGCAAGUCGAACGAGAAUCUACUGAAAGAGUUUUCGGACAAUGGAUGUAGAGGAAAGUGGCGGACGGGUGAGUAACGCGUGAGGAACCUGCCUUGAAGAGGGGGACAACAGUUGGAAACGACUGCUAAUACCGCAUGACGCAUAGAGGUCGCAUGAUCUUUAUGCCAAAGAUUUAUCGCUUCAAGAUGGCCUCGCGUCUGAUUAGCUGGUUGGCGGGGUAACGGCCCACCAAGGCGACGAUCAGUAGCCGGACUGAGAGGUUGAACGGCCACAUUGGGACUGAGAUACGGCCCAGACUCCUACGGGAGGCAGCAGUGGGGAAUAUUGGGCAAUGGGCGCAAGCCUGACCCAGCAACGCCGCGUGAAGGAAGAAGGCUUUCGGGUUGUAAACUUCUUUUAAGAGGGAAGAGCAGAAGACGGUACCUCUAGAAUAAGCCACGGCUAACUACGUGCCAGCAGCCGCGGUAAUACGUAGGUGGCAAGCGUUGUCCGGAUUUACUGGGUGUAAAGGGCGUGCAGCCGGGUCUGCAAGUCAGAUGUGAAAUCCAUGGGCUCAACCCAUGAACUGCAUUUGAAACUGUAGAUCUUGAGUGUCGGAGGGGCAAUCGGAAUUCCUAGUGUAGCGGUGAAAUGCGUAGAUAUUAGGAGGAACACCAGUGGCGAAGGCGGAUUGCUGGACGAUAACUGACGGUGAGGCGCGAAAGUGUGGGGAGCAAACAGGAUUAGAUACCCCUGGUAGUCCACACUGUAAACGAUGAAUACUAGGUGUGCGGGGACUGACCCCUUGCGUGCCGCAGUAAACACAAUAAGUAUUGCACCUGGGGAGUACGAUCGCAA